rfam:Stegodyphus mimosarum contig74721, whole genome shotgun sequence.
GCCUUCGUAGUGUAGGGGUCAGCACGCUCGGCCCAUAUUCGAGAGGUCCUCGGUUCGAGUCUCCGCAAGGGCA